rnacentral:rRNA from 2 species
CCUGGCGGCACUAGCGCGGUGGUCCCACCUGACCCCAUGCCGAACUCAGAAGUGAAACGCCGUAGCGCCGAUGGUAGUGUGGGGUCUCCCCAUGUGAGAGGAGGGAACUGCCAGGC